GGAGAGAUGGGUGAGUGGCUUAAACCACCGGUUUGCUAAACCGGCGUACGGGUAAUUCUGUACCGGGGGUUCGAAUCCCCCUCUCUCCGCAA
rnacentral:tRNA from 1 species